GAUCAUGGCUCAGGAUGAACGCUAGCGACAGGCUUAACACAUGCAAGUCGAGGGGCAGCACUGGGUAGCAAUACCCUGGUGGCGACCGGCGCACGGGUGAGUAACACGUGUGCAACCAACCCCGUACCGGGAGAUAACCCGCGGAAACGUGGACUAACAUCCCAUGACACUCGAGAGCCGCAUGGCUCUAGAUUUAAAAUUCCGGUGGUACGGGACGGGCACGCGCGACAUUAGGUAGUUGGCGGGGUAACCGG
rnacentral:rRNA from 1 species